GAGAAGUCCUGAAACGUGUCAAGAAGGAGCACCUUGAAAGAGCAUAUAAAAUAAAAGAAUGGGAUGAUGAAAAUGACUUCCUGGUUCAGCUUUGCAAAUUAACAGGCAAACUUUUGAAGGGUGGUGAACCUGACUUGAUGACUGCAGCAAAGAUGGUCCUUCAUGACUGGCAGAGAGGUAGAAUAGCUUUCUUUGUCCCACCUCCACAGCAAGAAGAAAGCAACUUAGAGGAACCUAGUACAUAUGGUAUAGAUAAGGAAGCUAUGGAAAAUAAUAAUCAAGCAUCUGCAGCUUUUAGAGCCAUUGCGAAUGUCAUUUCAUCUCAGCAACAAAAAAGUGUCCCUGUCCAAAAGGAUCUUUUUAGCGAGAAUGAUUUGAUAGCUGAUCGGCUUCCAACCGCUGAGGGCGAGUUGCAUGUGCAAGCAUUAGGCAUGGAGGAUGAGAUAGCUAACAAGCUUCCGGAUAGAGAGGGCAAAAUAGACGAGAAUGUCGGAGCAACUGAAUCAUAGCUGGCAGGAUUUUUCUUUAUAUUUAUUUUUUUUAUAUAGAUUAAUUUUGGGAUAUUUGGUAGAUUAAGUCAGGCCUGUUUAUAGCUUAAGAGGGUAAAAUAGAUGAAAGUGCAUCUGGCUUCCGGGGGC
rnacentral:misc_RNA from 1 species